ACGCGCGCCAGGAAGAGCAAGGGGAGCGAUGGACGGAAGAGGGUCAAGCGGCGAUUUGCUGGGCAUUCUCGAUGCCAUUUCGUCUUCAGAUGCCGUCGAGAAUCGUGUUCAGCUGCUCAAUAAACUGGAGGAUUUGAAUUUAUCAAGUAAAUCAGGCUUGAUUUCAUUGGUCGAAAGCCUCACCAGCAUGGAGAUCGUUUAAGGACCAUCUAGCAGGAAAAGAAAGCUUCCUGAAGGAAUCGGUAAGGGAAUGGAAUUGCUAACUAAUCGAUUAAAGGUUAUGCACCAGUGUCUCUCACUGUUGGAAGAAAGUCAUGUCGAUUCCUCAGAACUUCAUAAAGAACUUUUGAAUCACUUUUCUGGCCUUGAAGAUGAAAUAUAUCGGUUAAGCAGCCUGGGUGAGAUUGACUAAGCCAGUCUCAAUUCCAAAGACGGGAAAACCCAGCUAAUGCCCAUGGGUCGGUGAUUUAUGGUUCAUUCCCUGCCAUCCUUCUGUUGCAGAAGGAA